GCUGUAGCAAGGCAUCUGAGGUCUUUCAACCAAGGAAACAACCAGACUGAGUCAACAACUGUGUGGCUAGAAAGCAACUGUUUUCAAAAGCUGAGACCCCUUUGCUGUUGUCAGAAGGAAAGUGUACCCCACUUAGCGGAUGCAGGAUGGGAAGCCAAUGUUUUCUUCCAAGUUGGUAGACAAGGAAUUCUCAGACUGUGUCAGACAAGAUGGAAACAUGUGGACAUGUUCACAGUAAUAAUCUGAUAGAUUCAGCAGCAAAUGACCAGACCCA